rnacentral:rRNA from 1 species
GACGAACGCUGGCGGCGGGCUUAACACAUGCAAGUCGAACGGAAAGGCCCUGCUUUUGUGGGGUGCUCGAGUGGCGAACGGGUGAGUAACACGUGAGUAACCUGCCCUUGACUUUGGGAUAACUUCAGGAAACUGGGGCUAAUACCGGAUAGGAGCUCCUGCUGCAUGGUGGGGGUUGGAAAGUUUCGGCGGUUGGGGAUGGACUCGCGGCUUAUCAGCUUGUUGGGGGGGUAGUGGCUUACCAAGGCUUUGACGGGUAGCCGGCCUGAGAGGGUGACCGGCCACAUUGGGACUGAGAUACGGCCCAGACUCCUACGGGAGGCAGCAGUGGGGAAUAUUGCACAAUGGGCGGAAGCCUGAUGCAGCGACGCCGCGUGCGGGAUGACGGCCAUCGGGUUGUAAACCGCUUUCGCCUGUGACGAAGCGUGAGUGACGGUAAUGGGUAAAGAAGCACCGGCUAACUACGUG